GAAAUGUCAACCAAUUGCUCAAGAUACAGAGCAUCAUCAUAAUCACCAAAAACCCAAUACCCAAUGACAGAAAUGAAACCCCCCAAAUCUGAUUCUCUCUUGGUCGUUAGCCUAUUCUUUUCUCUUCCAACAGUCUUUACUGCUUGCCUAAUUCUCCAACUUUGUACUCCAAUUCCUUUUUUUCUCUCUCCCCCAUUUUCAGCUUAUCUUUCACUUCUUUCUUCUGUUUUUCUAUUAACUUUAGGUCCUCUUCCAUUUCUCUCAUUCUUCUCAGGAACCCAUGAAUUAGUUCUUUUCCUCUUGCACAGGUCGGUGCGUCCAGCCAGUCCCAAUGAUGCUCAUUUCCUCUGUUUCUCUGCAAAGUACAUUUUCUCACAUCAAAGCUAAACCCAUCAAUCAACAAAAUAAAAUUUCACAGAUUAACUUACUUGACUCAUCUCACAAGCCUAAAUCUUCUCCCAG
rnacentral:lncRNA from 1 species